rnacentral:rRNA from 1 species
GACGAACGCUGGCGGCGUGCUUAACACAUGCAAGUCGAACGGAAAGGCCCUGCUUUUGUGGGGUGCUCGAGUGGCGAACGGGUGAGUAACACGUGAGUAACCUGCCCUUGUCUUUGGGAUAACUUCAGGAAACUGGGGCUAAUAUCGGAUAGGAGCUCCUGCUGCAUGGUGGGGGAUGGAAAGUUUCGGCGGUUGGGGAUGGACUCGCGGCUUAUCAGCUUGUUGGUGGGGUAGUGGCUUACCAAGGCUUUGACGGGUAGCCGGCCUGAGAGGGUGACCAGCCACAUUGGGACUAAGAUACGGCCCAGAAUCCUACGGGAGGCAGCAGUGGGGAAUAUUGCACAGUGAACGGGAGCCUGAUGCGGCAACGCCGCGUGCGGGAUGACGGCCUUCGAGUUGUAAACCGCUUUCGCCUGUGACGAAGCGUGAGUGGCGGUAAUGGGUAAAGAAACACCGGCUAACUACGUG